rnacentral:rRNA from 1 species
CCUACGGGCGGCAGCAGUGAGGAAUAUUGGUCAAUGGCCGGAAGGCUGAACCAGCCAUGCCGCGUGAAGGUCAGUGCCCUAUGGGCGUUAAACUUCUUUUGUGCGGGAGCAAUAAUGGUCACGUGUGGCCAGACGAGAGUACCGUACGAAUAAGCAUCGGCUAACUCCGUGCCAGCAGCCGCGGUAAUACGGGGGAUGCAAGCGUUAUCCGGAUUUAUUGGGUUUAAAGGGUGCGUAGGCGGCAAAAUAAGUCUGAAGUAAAAGGCGUUGGCUCAACCAACGUAAGCUUUGGAAACUGUUAAGCUAGCGUGCAGGAGAGGUUAGUGGAAUUCCAUGUGUAGCGGUAAAAUGCGUAGAUAUAUGGAGGAACACCAGUGGCGAAGGCGGCUAACUGGCCUGUAACGGACGCUGAGGCACGAAAGCGUGGGGAGCAAAUAGGAUUAGAUACCCCAGUAGUC